GGCCUCCCUCUGUGGGGUGAUCAAUCACGGGGCUCCGUGAUCAAUGGCUCUGCAGAGGGAGGUC
rnacentral:pre_miRNA from 1 species